GCACUGAGAGCGCAAAUGGAAGUGCAGCGGAGAUUGCAUGAACAGGUGGAGGUUCAGAAGCACGUAGAGAUCCGGAUGGACGCAUUCCAGAAGUACAUAGAUACCUUGUUAGAGAGGGCAUGCAGGAUCGCCACCGACCACAUCGCUGCCACGGGUGUCAGGAUAACCGAGCAUGAACUUCCUGACCUAGGAACCAGAGUGUCAAUGUGCUCCCCAAGAAACCCACUGAGCCCCUCGUCCUUCAGCCACUCUAGUAGCGAGGUCGGUAUCCAGAGCCUCGAAGGUAGCUUUCCCUCUUACCAUCUUCAGGACUGUUUUCCUUCUAGAAGCUGCCCAAACUGAAGCAGAAGAAGCUGUGCCAGUUGUAUU
rnacentral:misc_RNA from 1 species